UACGGAGGGUGCGAGCGUUAAUCGGAAUUACUGGGCGUAAAGCGUGCGCAGGCGGUUUGUUAAGCGAGAUGUGAAAGCCCCGGGCUCAACCUGGGAACCGCAUUUCGAACUGGCAAACUAGAGUCUUGUAGAGGGGGGUAGAAUUCCAGGUGUAGCAGUGAAAUGCGUAGAGAUCAGGAGGAACACCGAUGGCGAAGGCAGCCCCCUGGACAAAGACUGACGCUCAGGCACGAAAGCGUGGGGAGCAAACAGG
rnacentral:rRNA from 1 species